AAGAAGUGAUGAUAAAAUUCAUAAGUCUGUCAAUCCGCUGAAUACAUUAUUAUGAUGCAAAUAGUGAAUCCCGACAGGUUCUGAUCUC
rnacentral:snoRNA from 1 species